rnacentral:rRNA from 1 species
GAUGAACGCUAGCUACAGGCUUAACACAUGCAAGUCGAGGGGAAACGAUAGAGAAAGCUUGCUUUUUCUAGGCGUCGACCGGCGCACGGGUGAGUAACGCGUAUCCAACCUGCCCAUCACUUGGGGAUAACCUUGCGAAAGUAAGACUAAUACCCAAUGACGUCUCUAGAAGACAUCUGAAAGAGAUUAAAGAUUUAUCGGUGAUGGAUGGGGAUGCGUCUGAUUAGCUUGUUGGCGGGGUAACGGCCCACCAAGGCGACGAUCAGUAGGGGUUCUGAGAGGAAGGUCCCCCACAUUGGAACUGAGACACGGUCCAAACUCCUACGGGAGGCAGCAGUGAGGAAUAUUGGUCAAUGGACGAGAGUCUGAACCAGCCAAGUAGCGUGCAGGAUGACGGGCCCUAUGGGUUGUAAACUGCUUUUAUAAGGGAAUAAAGUGAGUCUCGUGAGGCUUUUGCAUGUACCUUAUGAAUAAGGACCGGCUAAUUCCGUGCCAGCAGCCG